CAUGUCCUUUUGUGAUAAAUUAAAGGUUUGGCCUGCUCAAUGAAUUUUAAAUAGCCGCAGUAUAUUGACUGUGCAAAGGUAGCAUAAUAAUUAGUUUCUUGAUUAGAAACUGGAAUGAAUGGCUGGACAAGAAAAUUUCUGUCUCUUUUUUAAUAUUAUUGAACUUUAUUUUUAAGUGAAAAAGCUUAAAUUUUUAUAAAAGACGAGAAGACCCUAUAGAGUUUAAUAUUUAUUUUAAAUGAUAUGUUAGAAUAUUAUUUUUUUAUUAAAUAUUUGGUUGGGGUGAUUGAAAGAAAUAAAUAAUUCUUUUAAUAUUUAAUUGAUAAUUUUCAAUUUUUAGAUUUAUAAUUUAUAGAAUUAAAAUAAAUUACCUUAGGGAUAACAGCGUAAUUUUUCUUUAAAGUUCUUAUUAAAAGGAAAGUUUGCGACCUCGAUGUUGGAUUAAAAUUAAUUUUUGGUGCAGUAACUUAAAAAUUAGGUCUGUUCGACCUUUAAAAUUUUACAUGAUCUGAGUUUAAACCGGUGUGAGCCAGGUUGGAUUCUAUCUUUAGAAAUAUUUUAUAUUUUAGUACGAAAGGACCAAAUAUAAAUUAAAUUAAUUGU
rnacentral:rRNA from 1 species